CCUGGUUGAUCCUGCCAGUAGUCACAUGCUUGUCUCAAAGAUUAAGCCAUGCAUGUCUAAGUACACACUUUGGUAAAGUGAAACCGCGAAUGGCUCAUUAAAUCAGCUACAAUUUAUUAGAUCGUACACUGUUACUUGGAUAACUGUGGGAAUUCUAGAGCUAAUACAUGCCGAGAGUCUCUGCUCUUCGGGGCAGAGCGCAGUUAUUAGACCAAAACCAGCCGUAUUCUUCGGGGUACGCUCUUUUGGUGACUCUGGAUAACCUUCAGCCGAUCGCAUGGCCUCGUGCCGGCGACGUAUCUUUCAAGUGUCUGCCCUAUCAACUUUCGAUGGUACGUGAUAUGCCUACCAUGGUGAUAACGGGUAACGGGGAAUCAGGGUUCGAUUCCGGAGAGGGAGCCUGAGAAAUGGCUACCACAUCCAAGGAUGGCAGCAGGCGCGCAAAUUACCCACUCCCAGCUUGGGGAGGUAGUGACGAAAAAUAACAAUGCGGGACUCUAAGAGGCCCCGUAAUUGGAAUGAGUACACCUUAAAUCGUUUAACGAGUAUCAAUUGGAGGGCAAGUCUGGUGCCAGCAGCCGCGGUAAUUCCAGCUCCAAUAGCGUAUAUUAAAGUUGCUGCAGUUAAAAAGCUCGUAGUUGGAUCUGGGGCUUGAGGUCGCUGUCUAUCGUUUCGGCGAUGACGGUGAUGCUCAGCUCUGCUUGCCGGUGACUGUUGCGGUGUUCUUCACUGAGCGCUGUAGCAGCACGGCACGUUUACUUUGAAAAAAUUAGAGUGCUCAAAGCGUGCUUGUCGCUUGAAUAAUGUUGCAUGGAAUAAUGGAAUAGGACCUCGGUUCUAUUUUGUUGGUUUUCGGAGCUUGAGGUAAUGAUUAAGAGGGACGAACGGGGGCAUUCGUAUUGCGGUGUUAGAGGUGAAAUUCUUGGAUCGCCGCAAGACGGACUACUGCGAAAGCAUUUGCCAAGAACGCUUUCAUUAAUUAAGAACGAAAGUCAGAGGUUCGAAGACGAUCAGACACCGUCCUAGUUCUGACCAUAAACGAUGCCGACCAGCGAUCCGUAGUGGUUGCUUUAUGGAUCCUACGGGCAGCCUCCGGGAAACCAAAGUAUUUGGGUUCCGGGGGAAGUAUGGUUGCAAAGCUGAAACUUAAAGGAAUUGACGGAAGGGCACACCAGGAGUGGAGCCUGCGGCUUAAUUUGACCCAACACGGGAAAACUCACCCGGUCCGGACACCGUAAGGAUUGACAGACUGAUAGCUCUUUCUUGAUUCGGUGGAUGGUGGUGCAUGGCCGUUCUUAGUUGGUGGAGUGAUUUGUCUGGUUAAUUCCGAUAACGAACGAGACUCUAGCCUGCUAAGUAGUG
rnacentral:rRNA from 1 species